GAUGAACGCUGGCGGCGUGCCUAAUACAUGCAAGUCGAGCGAACAGAUGAGGAGCUUGCUCCUCUGACGUUAGCGGCGGACGGGUGAGUAACACGUGGAUAACCUACCUAUAAGACUGGGAUAACUUCGGGAAACCGGAGCUAAUACCGGAUAAUAUAUUGAACCGCAUGGUUCAAUAGUGAAAGACGGUUUUGCUGUCACUUAUAGAUGGAUCCGCGCCGCAUUAGCUAGUUGGUAAGGUAACGGCUUACCAAGGCAACGAUGCGUAGCCGACCUGAGGGGGUGAUCGGCCACACUGGAACUGAGACACGGUCCAGACUCCUACGGGAGGCAGCAGUAGGGAAUCUUCCGCAAUGGGCGAAAGCCUGACGGAGCAACGCCGCGUGAGUGAUGAAGGUCUUCGGAUCGUAAAACUCUGUUAUUAGGGAAGAACAAAUGUGUAAGUAACUAUGCACGUCUUGACAGUACCUAAUCAGAAAGCCACGGCUAACUACGUG
rnacentral:rRNA from 1 species